rnacentral:snoRNA from 1 species
AGCACUUGUGUUUGUUUUUGUUUAAUUUGUGGACAAAGAUUUACAGACAAGUGCGAAAGUAAAUCCUCUUUUGCAACCCACAACUCAUUGUCCAGUAUACAGAUAAGAAGGAACAUG